UACGGGGGGGGCAAGCGUUGUUCGGAAUUACUGGGCGUAAAGGGCUCGUAGGCGGCCAACUAAGUCGGAUGUGAAAUCCCAGGCUUAACCUGGGAACUGCAUCCGAUACUGGAUGGCUUGAAUCCGGGAGAGGGAUGCAGAAUUCCAGGUGUAGCGGUGAAAUGCGUAGAUAUCUGGAGGAAUACCGGUGGCGAAGGCGGCAUCCUGGACCGGCAUUGACGCUGAGGAGCGAAAGCUAGGGGAGCAAACGGG
rnacentral:rRNA from 1 species